UUACUUAGGAUCAGCUUGCGAAUUUGCAGCACCGUAGUAGAAUCAUUACCAACAGAGGAAGACUCUCCUCGGGGAGGAGAGGCUUUCUCGGAAGUAGGGUAUUCUAGGGAACCGUACCUGUUUUCCGACCCGAACCCUUAGCCGCCUUCCUAGGAAACGGACUAGGGAAAGACAGGGUUAGCGCCCUUUGGUAGCCUUCCAGUUCAGCUAUAGCGAGCUCUUCACUUGAUAGAAGAGCGAGACAUAGCGGAGGAAAUGGUGCUUUGUCGAUCCUAACUCCUUGCUAAAAAUGACUCGAUAGAAUGCUAAUGAGGCCUAUCCUUCCCGAAAGCGUCGGUCAAUCCCUAGUAGCUUUCUUUGCCGACCGAGAUUACCCAUCACUCGCCUUCCUGCUACCUACUAUAGGUCGCCAAGGCCUAGAAGUACAAGUGGUCGCCCUAACGGUCACUCUCAAACUCACUACUUGAGUGACGAAAGUCACUUAGCUUCUUUAAUAGGGCUUGCCAAACUCCGGGGCCCCGGGAAGAGGUUCUCUUCUUCUUCUGAACAAUACCCUUCAGUGCUGAUGAGAGUGGUAAAGAAAAGUCGACUUCCUAUUUUGAAGCGUUCUUGAUACAUUAUUGCACAUCUCAAGCACAAAUUGGAUUUCAUUGGGGAAACAUUGCUCCACUGAGGUGCUCCGACCUUCCAGCGCCGGGCAGGUGUCAGACUCUAUACAUCAACAGCCAAACCUUUUCACCCAGCUACACGCCUUCCUUCAACAUUCCUUCGUUCAAAUGACUUAAGCCCGGGGCUAACAGGGUUUCUGAGGUGAAUGGCUUAUCACUUGAGGAAGCAGGCAACGAUCAAGUAGAUUAGUGAACUCCCUUGUGUCGGGGAUUCCUUUCUUCUUCCUUGUCGUGAGAAUCUGAUCUCAUUGGUUAUAGAAAGAAGCCAGUAAAGAAGGUGCUUUUUCGAGUGAGUUGGCACAGGAGAAGAAGUAAGCAAAUAGGGCAAACCAGUUAUCUUCCUAAAAUGCUCAAUCCAAAAGGACUAUUUUGUUGUUUGUGCCAAAAGAACUCUUUAAAGCUAGUGAAAUCGGCUCAUAAGCGCCCGGCAUUUCGUAACACAUUCUCUCUAUCUAUUCUGGGAUGAGCCAUGAUUCCACUACAACCAUCAGACAUUCAUGCUCCCAUCCCUCUAUCUUUGUUUCGCUAGCGGAUCCUAUUCGUUUUUGCACUCCACAGAUGGAGUGUUCCUUCACUCGCCCAGGAACCCAUUCCCCGUCGAAAUAUGCUAUUUGCUGCUAUUCCAUCUAUUUGUGCAUCAAGUCCGAAGAAGAUCUCAGGGCAGUGGGCGUGGGACUGUAAAUCCUCUUUCGUUCGCUGGGCCUAGGCCCUUUGGACUGUAAAUCCAAACGGAGUAAGUGGUUUGAUUCCACUCAUGAACGAGAGCGAGACUGAACGAAAGAAAAUGCAAGUGAAACGAGACGAGAAUCAAAUUGUAGGCUUAUUUCCUAAAAGCGGUGACUUGACCCUACCCGGCUUGCGCAAAUCCCUCUCUAGUAGCCAAAGGUUAGAUAGAUUAAUAUGUUGAACUGAAUAGCGCAGCUGUUUUAAACCCAACCUUAUCUGAUCCAAACUUAGCUUACUUGGCUGUUUUGCU
rnacentral:lncRNA from 1 species